GCUGGAAACGGUAGCUAAGUCUUUAUAUGCCGGGAGGUGAAAUAGUUCAGACUGCCUAAGGAUGAGCUCACGCCUGAUUAGCUUGUUGGUAAGGUAAUGGCUUACCAAGGCCACGAUCAGUAGCUGGUUUGAGAGAACGACCAGCCACACUGGGACUGAGACACGGCCCAGACUCCUCCGGGAGGCAGCAGUGAGGAAUUUUCCGCAAUGGGCGAAAGCCUGACGGAGCAAUACCGCGUGAGGGAAGACUGCCUAUGGGUUGUAAACCUCUUUUUUCAGGGAGGAAUAAAAUGACGUGUACCUGAAGAAUAAGCAUCGGCUAACUCCGUGCCAGCAGCCGCGGUAAUACG
rnacentral:rRNA from 1 species